rnacentral:rRNA from 1 species
CCUACGGGUGGCAGCAGUGGGGAAUAUUGGGCAAUGGGCGCAAGCCUGACCCAGCAACGCCGCGUGAAGGAAGAAGGCUUUCGGGUUGUAAACUUCUUUUCUCAGGGACGAAGCAAGUGACGGUACCUGAGGAAUAAGCCACGGCUAACUACGUGCCUGCAGCCGCGGUAAUACGUAGGUGGCAAGCGUUAUCCGGAUUUACUGGGUGUAAAGGGCGUGUAGGCGGGGACGCAAGUCAGAUGGGAAAACCACGGGCGCAACCUGUGGCCUGCAUUUGAAACUGUGUUUCUUGAGUACUGGAGAGGCAGACGGAAUUCGUGGUGUAGCGGUGAAAUGCGUAGAUAUGAGGAGGAACACCAGUGGCGAAGGCAGUCUGCUGGACAGCAACUGACGCUGAGGCGCGAAAGCGUGGGGAGCGAACAGGAUUAGAUACCCUUGUAGUC